rnacentral:rRNA from 1 species
AUUGAACGCUGGCGGCAGGCUUAACACAUGCAAGUCGAGCGGAGAUGAGGUGCUUGCACCUUAUCUUAGCGGCGGACGGGUGAGUAAUGCUUAGGAAUCUGCCUAUUAGUGGGGGACAACAUUCCGAAAGGAAUGCUAAUACCGCAUACGCCCUAUGGGGGAAAGCAGGGGAUCUUCGGACCUUGCGCUAGUAGAUGAGCCUAAGUCGGAUUAGCUAGUUGGUGGGGUAAAGGCCUACCAAGGCGACGAUCUGUAGCGGGUCUGAGAGGAUGAUCCGCCACACUGGGACUGAGACACGGCCCAGACUCCUACGGGAGGCAGCAGUGGGGAAUAUUGGACAAUGGGCGGAAGCCUGAUCCAGCCAUGCCGCGUGUGUGAAGAAGGCCUUUUGGUUGUAAAGCACUUUAAGCGAGGAGGAGGCUACCUGGAUUAAUACUCUAGGAUAGUGGACGUUACUCGCAGAAUAAGCACCGGCUAACUCUGUGCCAGCCGCCGCCGUAAUAC